GGUCUCUGUGUUGGGCGUCUGUCUGCCCGCAUGCCUGCCUCUUUGUUGCUUGGAAGGAGGCAGGGGCUGGGCCUGCAGCUGCCUGGGCAGAGCGG
rnacentral:pre_miRNA from 1 species